rnacentral:lncRNA from 1 species
CCUUAGUAGUCUGCCAACCUUGGCUCCUUUCAAAGAUCGACAUAUCUCCCUUGAAAUAUCUUCCUGAAUUGAAGUCGCUUGAGUCAUCAGCUCCUACCACAAUUUCUCCAAUGAGAAGAUAUAACACCUUUUCCAGGAUUGUUCCAUCAAUCCCAAUAAUUCAUCCUUGUACCACAUUCGAUCCAUCCUUCGGGUCAUAGUUUGCGAUAUAUUCCUCCACUAAUGACACAUUAAUUGAUGGUAAGCAAUCCGAUAGGUGCAAAAAUUGGAACAAUUGUGCAUUCUAAAAGUCUUUUAUUCUUUUUGGCAUCCAAUAGAUAUCCAACUUCAUUGGUUCCAUAUUGGUAACGAUUAUCAUAGAAGGUGGUUUUGAUACGCAUCUAGCUCUCACAUUUUCGCCACUGUUCUCUUUGUCUGUAGCUCGCUUUGCACUUUCAAUUACCAUGAUGCUCCCUCUCUCAAACUCUUAACUGGAAUUACUAUGUUCAAAAAUGUAAGAAACACAAGAACUAGCAAUCUCAAAAAACAACCAAGAACGACAAGACAGAAUGACCUCUAACUGGUGCCCCACUACUAUUCUCUUACUACUGGUGAU